rfam:Capsicum annuum cultivar Zunla-1 unplaced genomic scaffold scaffold258, whole genome shotgun sequence
UUAACUUUCUCGGCCUUUUGGCUAAGAUCAAGUGUAGUAUCUGUUCUUAUCAGUUUAAUAUCUGAUAAUGUGGAUCAUUGGUUCAGACGAUAUUAACUCUAUUUUAUGAUGUGGAAGGUUCAUAAAGGUAGCUUGCUGCCUGGGCCUUCAUGUGUCGCCUAAACGUUGCACUACUGCUUUGGCCUGGUGCACCCCAC